UGAUUAUCCAUUUUGAUUCUCGAAAUUUAAAAUUAUCUAUAUUGGUCCUCCAGAUUCAAGUCCGAGCAUCAAUGUGGUCCCUCGACUCUUUCCGGCGAUGACUAGACAAAUGAAAUGCUGAGAUGACACCCUCCCUGCCACGCUGGAUGAUGAGUAAACGACGUCGUUUAUCCUUGGCACCUAAACAAGUUAGAAAUAAAGAAAAGCGAAAGUAGAGAAGCAGA